rnacentral:sRNA from 1 species
CAAGACCAGUCAACCAUAGAGUCUCUU